UGGAGGGAAGCACCUUAAUUCAGCACUGAAUCUGAAAUUCUGGGGCCAAGAUAUGAACAUCCAUGUUUUCACCGAAAGCUUUUUCAGUGAUUCUGAUGUAUGUGAAAACUAGUGUUUCAGAACUUACCAGACAACUUCUGUCACUUCUGGUUUGUUCCAUCCUGCUCUAAGAUGUGUCUUAGGUUUGCAGGACUCACCAGACUCUUAAAAGAUUUCCAUCAGAAAGGCAGUGGCAACCUUGAGCUUCCAGCACAAUGGAAAAUGCCUAGCAGUUUGUACAAGUCUGCGUGCUUCCUCCUGCCCUGCUCCCUGGAACUUGGGCUUUCUUCAGGGGUUCCCCCAACCCUGAAAGUGGAUCUGAAGGUGCUGAAUUCAACCUGAGGGCAAUGUGUGUAUGUUGUAGAGAAGAGGAUAAAGAAGCGAGUGUUUGGUUUACUGGCGCUGGCAUACACACAUUAAUUUAGGGUCUUCAUCUGCUUUGGUAGACAAAUCACAAACAUUUCCAUGAAUAACAGCGUCUGUUAUGCAAAUUGGUUUCCGUCUGCUGGUCUGUUGAGAAUAAUCUUCCAUAAUUACAACAGCUAUUUACUUACGGGCAAAUCAGCUUUCUCACCACCUUCUCCAUUCGAGAGAGGCCUCCAACUGCUGCUGGAGCCCAUGUGAUUGAGGGCUGAUGGACUCUGAUGUUGUGAGCCUGUUGUUUGAGUUUGUGGGUCCCAGGACAGAAGGAUCCACAGUACCGCCAGUCAACGAGUGGGGAUUAGGCUCCCUCAGGCUUCUCUGCACUAAGAUGUCCAGGACAUAGUCGUCACAAGUUUUAUAGCGAGUUGAGGAAACAAGGCAUGUGGAACUAAUGGAAGAGAAUUAAGCCCUGAAAUGUGUGGUUCUGCUUAGAAUGGAUGCAGUAAGCAUUUAGCAAAGAAGAUAUUAGUGUGAGCUGAAGAAUUAAUACUGACACGGCUUAUGGAGAGAAACUUGCCCUGGGCUUAUGAAGAGGGGAAGGAUUCCUGGAGAAGUCUCAGAUGGCAAGGACUUCCAGGCCCAGAGCAGAGGCUGGAGGAAGGAAUUCAUGGAACAUGACCUGAGUGCAGAGGAGGUCCUAAAAUAUUCUAAGAAAGUAAAUUUUGCUGAAAAAUGACUUCUGGAACAGACUUCAGGAAACAGAUGGCUCUAGAGUACUAUGUCGAUGAGAAUUUUGAAGACACAGUGUUUCAGAGAGCGAGAUGGUGACUGCUGUGAUUAGAAAUUUGAGAAGCAAUUGGUGGUUGAACAUGCAAUGGGGCAAACCAUUUUAACAUGAAUUGGGGAUGUGCCUGAGAAGACCCAACUUUCCCAAAGGAACCAAGAACACAGCCUUGGAAGAAAUGAGCUGGAAAUAUCGCGCUCAUCUAACCACUGAUGUAGAGCUAUAGAACACGUGACCAGUGACAGUCUGUGAGUGGACUCUCCAUGUGACUAAUUAUGACAUGGGAUUAUCUAUGCUCCUGGUUCCAGUUUAAGAAGAAAAUAAGAGAAAAUCUUUUAAAUUUCCUCCUUGAUGUCUCAUCAGAAUUGGAGCCGCUUUUCCUCUGCAAUACUGGUAUGUGGGUGAGAGGAGGAGGUUGUUGGAAGAAUGAUUGGAGUCUGGUGUCAGGAAUCCCUUGCCCUUCAAAGAGACAGUGUGCUGCUAUCUGGCUGCUUCCAUGAGCUGCAAAGUGGGUAAAACAUCUUCAGUUGGGUGGAUAGGAUAAGACUGUCAUUGACUGAUAUGCGCAACCUAAUUACUUCCUUAGUUACUUAAAGCUGGCUUCAUUUGUC
rnacentral:lncRNA from 1 species